rnacentral:rRNA from 1 species
AGUGAACGCUGGCGGCAGGCCUAAUACAUGCAAGUCGAACGAAAGCACGAAAAGCGUUCUUCCCUAAUGUUAGCGGCUGACGGGGGAGUAACAAGUGGAUAACACUCCUCUAAUACGGGGGUAAAUUCGUGAAACCGUUACCAAUACCCGCUAAUAUUUUCAACAGCAAAGAUCAAGAGUGAAAGACGUCUUUCCUGUCACUUAUAGCAGAUGCCGGGCUCGAUUAGCUAGGUGGUAAGGUAACGGCUUACCAAGGCAACGAUGCAUAUCAGACCUGAGAGGAUGAGCGGCCACACUGGAACUGAGACACGUUCCAGACUCCUACGGGAGGCAGCAGUAGGGAAUCUUGCACAAUGGGCGCAAGCCUGAUGCAGCCACGCCGCGUGAGUGAAGAAGGUCUUCGGAUCGUAAAACUCUUUUAUUAGGGAAGAAAAUAUGCGUAUGUAUAUCUGCCCAUAUUGACGGUACCCAAAGAGAAAGCACCGGCUAACUCCGUG